rnacentral:lncRNA from 1 species
UUUAGAGGGGGAAAUUUGUUCCUUAGUCGUUUCCUUUUUCUAAGCCCUCUAAGUAGAGAACAAUGCCUGGGAGGGCAAGAUAUUUUAAGCACUCAGGUCCCUUGAAGCCAAAUGGUUUGAAAGCAUUCUGAAAGUUACUUGGAGCCUGGCUGGCCAGCAGCCUACAGACAGACAACCACCGAUGGAGAGACUUUCUGCUUCUCAGAAAGAAUCAAAACCUGUAAAGAAUGAAUUGCAGACAUUCCCAGGAGCUGCUGUAUAGCGAAGUGCCUGAUCAACACAUACUAUUGUGGUAAUUAGAAGACAACUCAAGUACAAAUGGAACCAGCUCCUCUGUUCUCAAGCCUUCCAUGUUCCAACCUGCUACAUUUCCUGCACUCUCAAUACCCUGCUGUGAUAUUUUCUUGAGGAGGAGCAACUC